rnacentral:rRNA from 1 species
CAGUCGAACGGACUUAAUAUGAAACCUAGUGAUUGUUAAGUUAGUGCCGUGACGGGUGAGUAACGCGUGGAUAACCUGCCGUAUGCAGGGGGAUAACAGUUGGAAACAGCUGCUAAUACCGCAUAAGCGCACGGUGCCGCAUGGUACAGUGCGAAAAGAUUUAUCGGCAUACGAUGGAUCCGCGUCCGAUUAGCCAGUUGGCGGGGUAACGGCCCACCAAAGCGACGAUCGGUAGCCGGCCUGAGAGGGCGGACGGCCACAUUGGGACUGAGACACGGCCCAAACUCCUACGGGAGGCAGCAGUGGGGAAUAUUGGACAAUGGGGGGAACCCUGAUCCAGCGACGCCGCGUGAGUGAAGAAGUAUUUCGGUAUGUAAAGCUCUAUCAGCAGGGAAGAAAGAAAUGACGGUACCUGACUAAGAAGCCCCGGCUAACUACGUGCCAGCAGCCGCGGUAAUACGUAGGGGGCAAGCGUUAUCCGGAUUUACUGGGUGUAAAGGGAGCGUAGACGGCAGUGCAAGUCUGAAGUGAAAGGCGGGGGCCCAACCCCCGGACUGCUUUGGAAACUGUGCUGCUGGAGUGCAGGAGAGGCAAGUGGAAUUCCUAGUGUAGCGGUGAAAUGCGUAGAUAUUAGGAGGAACACCAGUGGCGAAGGCGGCUUGCUGGACUGUAACUGACGUUGAGGCUCGAAAGCGUGGGGAGCAAACAGGAUUAGAUACCCUGGUAGUCCACGCCGUAAACGAUGAUCACUAGGUGUCGGUGGGUAU